rnacentral:rRNA from 1 species
UACGUAGGGUCCGAGCGUUGUCCGGAAUUACUGGGCGUAAAGAGCUCGUAGGUGGUUUGUCACGUUGUUCGUGAAAACCCACAGCUCAACUGUGGGCGUGCGAGCGAUACGGGCAGACUAGAGUACUGCAGGGGAGACUGGAAUUCCUGGUGUAGCGGUGGAAUGCGCAGAUAUCAGGAGGAACACCGGUGGCGAAGGCGGGUCUCUGGGCAGUAACUGACGCUGAGGAGCGAAAGCAUGGGGAGCGAACAGG